rnacentral:rRNA from 1 species
CCUAUCAGUAUCCUGAGUAGGGCGGGACACGUGAAAUCCCGUUUGAAUCCGCGAGGACCAUCUCGCAAGGCUAAAUACUAACCAGUGACCGAUAGUGAACCAGUACCGUGAGGGAAAGGUGAAAAGAACCCCGGGAGGGGAGUGAAAGAGAACCUGAAACCGUGUGCCUACAAGUAGUCAGAGCCCGUUAACGGGUAAUGGCGUGCCUUUUGUAGAAUGAACCGGCGAGUUGCGUUAGUCAGCAAGGUUAAGUCAGAAAAGACGGAGCCGUAGCGAAAGCGAGUCUGAAGAGGGCGAGCAGUUGGCUGACGCAGACCCGAAACCAAGUGACCUACCCAUGACCAGGUUGAAGGCGCGGUAAAACGCGCUGGAGGACCGAACCCACGUAAGUUGAAAAUUGCGGGGAUGAGUUGUGGGUAGCGGUGAAAUUCCAAACGAACUUGGAGAUAGCUGGUUCUCUCCGAAAUAGCUUUAGGGCUAGCCUCGCAAAGAGGAUGCUGGAGGUAGAGCUCUGUUUGGACUAGGGGCCCGUCAAGGGUUACUGAAUUCAGAUAAACUGCGAAUUCCAGACAUUUAUGUGCGGGAGUCAGACUGCGAGUGAUAAGAUCCGUAGUCGAAAGGGAAACAGCCCAGAUCACCAGUUAAGGUCCCAAAAUUCAUGCUAAGUGGAAAAGGAUGUGGAGUUGCGCAGACAACUAGGACGUUGGCUCAGAAGCAGCCAUCAUUCAAAGAGUGCGUAAUAGCUCACUAGUCGAGUGACGCCGCGCCGAAAAUUUACCGGGGCUAAGCAUGAUACCGAAACUGUGGAUGUGCGUUUAUGCACGUGGUAGGAGAGCGUUCUAGCGGCGGUGAAGCAUGACCGAGAGGACAUGUGGAGC